CUUCUCCCUUUCAGCACAUAUACUAAAACUGGAAAGACAGAGAAAAUUAGCAUGGCCCUGCACAAGGAUGACAUGCAAAUUCAUGAAGUGUUUCAGAUUAAA